rnacentral:lncRNA from 1 species
CUAUAAGAGUAGUCUAACUUUAAAGUGAAUAUUUCUGUCACAGUCCCUUUACUGGAAAUGACUACAAAUGUAUUAUUAAGGUAACUUCAAAUCUAGUUUCCUUUUAUACUCUAAUUCAAUUAACUAUACAUGUAACUAUAACUAUCCCAACACUAUAGCUAUAUUUGUAUACCCUACUAAUACAUGUAGUAGCUAAUGGUGUACAUGGUGUAUGAGGGUUGUAUUAAGUUAUCUUCAUGACGAAUAACGCUAAAAAUUCUUGUCAAAUGAGGUUAACAGUAAUUUUUGGUACAUUUGUACAUGACAAUAAAAAUGCACACAUUCAUUUAGACGAUAAAAAAAAAUUGACUUAUUUUGACGAAUCUUGUUAAAUUUUUUCCAAAAAAAACAGUAACAAUAACUAUUUGGGACCUCUGAUGAAUCAGGGUAAUUUUUUAACCAAUUUGACACAAACAGUAGCAAAAAAUGGCCGUUUGACGCCUGAUGGUAAAAGGCAUUCCUACCCUCUUGUAUAGAUUUCUCAUAUCAACUGUCAGAAAUUAAAUGAAUAAAUAUCAUUGGGC